rnacentral:lncRNA from 1 species
AUUGGAACAUUCAAUCAAUUUGAUCCCUCUAAGUUUCUUUUUGUUCCACAAGAGCCCAAGCAUGUUCUAGUAUCUUGUAAUUAAGUCCUAAGAUCAUUGCAACUUCAAUCAUUGUUUGGCUUUUCCUUUAUUUUUUGAGAUCUUUGAAGUGUUUAAACGAUUUAUUUGGACUUGAAUGUUUGAGUAAUGCUUGUUUUGGGUCUUUAGUAGAUGCUAUAUUUGGAAAUUGAACGGGUUAUUCCGUUUUCUUGGUCUUUAAGCAUUUUUUUUGUGCUCAUUCAAGUUGCAAUUAGGUGGGUUUUGAUGUUUUUGCUUAUACUUUACUUUUAAAUUGAUGCCUUGACCCCUUUAUUGUUUUGAAGCCAUUUUCCUUCAUUUGCUUACCAUUAGGGGAAGGUAUAAUUUCUUUUAUCUUUGUUUAUCUCUCCUAUGUGAUCCAAUGUGCUAAGUGAAUUGCAUGUCUACUUUGCUUUCCUAGCUUUUCUUUAAUUCCUUUUAUUUAUGUCAUUUAUUUUUGCUCUUUAUUUAAGUUAUUCUUUAUGGGGUAUGUGUACACCUCUUGGCUUGUAAUAGUUAGGGAUUCAACUAUUUUAUUCUCUUUCCCCC